rnacentral:rRNA from 1 species
UACACUCCUGCGGGAGGCAGCAGUGGGGAAUAUUGGCCAAUGGGCGCAAGCCUGAUCCAGCCAUGCCGCGUGAGUGAUGAAGGCCCUAGGGUUGUAAAGCUCUUUCACCGGUGAAGAUAAUGACGGUAACCGGAGAAGAAGCCCCGGCUAACUUCGUGCCAGCAGCCGCGGUAAUACGAAGGGGGCUAGCGUUGUUCGGAUUUACUGGGCGUAAAGCGCACGUAGGCGGACUAUUAAGUCAGGGGUGAAAUCCCGGGGCUCAACCCCGGAACUGCCUUUGAUACUGGUAGUCUUGAGUUCGAGGGAGGUGAGUGGAAUUCCGAGUGUAGAGGUGAAAUUCGUAGAUAUUCGGAGGAACACCAGUGGCGAAGGCGGCUCACUGGCUCGAUACUGACGCUGAGGUGCGAAAGCGUGGGGAGCAAACAGGAUUAGAAACCCGUGUAGUCCCAUGAU